rnacentral:sRNA from 1 species
CACUGAUCCUCAGGCCCUUACGGUCUCUCUGCCCCGUCUUCUGUGAUAUCCCCAGAGCCUUUACAGUGCCAAUUAUGUUGAAGAUGCAUCAAUUGGGGUUCAAAAGCCUAAGGACAGUUUAUCUCUGCACACUGACCAGUUGUGAAUCCCUGUGGUGGUCUCUGACUGCUGCAAAAAGAAGAUUUUCUGGACCUGAGCUCUGCUGAAGGAGGCAUCACCUGGGUCGAAGGCCGGCAUUAACUUUAGAGCCAAGAACACACACCGUAAAGCUGGUGCACUGACUCGGUGUCUCUCCAGCUCAGCGGUUCUCCAGGGUGACUUCGCACCUUGGAUUUGUCCCCUCAUCCACAGAGACGUUUGGCCCCAUCUAAAGGCUGCUGGAUGGAAUCGAGGCAGCUGCCUGGCUCAUAAGCUGAAUGGAAGCUGGGAGCAAGAAUGGAGCGCUGAACACAGCUCCUUGCUGAGCGCAGAGAGCAGCUGCAGACUUCUGUGUCCACUUCAAUCAUGCUCAGGCCAGCAGUUUUUCUCCAUACUGUGCUCUGUCUGUCUUUGGUCAUCUAUGCAGUUUGAAAGUUAACUAAGGCAGGACCCACUCUCCCUCGGGGAAGCACGUCUCUCCUAAGAGCCCAUUUCCUCGAUGGCAUCGGAGCCUGCUAUUUGGAACUCCAGCACAUACUGAAGAUAAGACAUCCAGCCUCUUGAACAACUACUGGAUUCUCGACUCUUCCGUUGGUAGACAGUCAUUGUUGGCCUAGCUGUGUCAAAGACUAUAAGUCAUUAUAAUAAAUUCCAUAUACAGUCGUU